GAUGAACGCUGACAGAAUGCUUAACACAUGCUAGUCAUUGGCGAAGCUGCGCUUGCGCAGUCUAGCCAAGGCGGACGGGUGAGUAACGCGUAAGGAACUUGCCCUGCAGACAGGGAUAACAGACGGAAACGACUGAUAACACCUGGUAUUGUCAGGCUGGCGCAUGCCGGCCUGAUGAAAGGAGACGCUGCAGGAGAGCCUUGCGUCCUAUUAGCUAGUUGGUGGGGUAACGGCCCACCAAGGCGAUGAUAGGUAGCCGGCCUGAGAGGGUGAACGGCCACAAGGGGACUGAGAUACGGCCCUUACUCCUACGGGAGGCAGCAGUGGGGAAUAUUGGACAAUGGGGGCAACCCUGAUCCAGCAAUUCUGUGUGCACGAAGAAGGUUUUCGGAUUGUAAAGUGCUUUCAGCAGGGAAGAAGAAAGUGACGGUACCUGCAGAAGAAGCGACGGCUAAAUACGUG
rnacentral:rRNA from 1 species